CACUUCCUGGUUACUCGCCGCGCACGCCAUUGCUCAGCACUUUGGUUCCCAGGGGACUUGAGUGCAGGGAGCCAAGGGUCAUUUUCCAGGCUUGUAGCGGGAUUUGAAAAGGACCGGAAGAUAAAAAUUCUCUCCGGAAGUCCGUGCAAACCUGUGUGGAGUAUUCCUCCGGCGGGCCGCGACCUCUAAGCCCUCGUCCUUCAGCCUGCAGCAGCCAAGGGCAGUGGUUUGCCAUCUCCACGGAAGAUCCCGCGGUCUCGAGUCCAGCCAGUUUCUGUGUCAUCUAGCCAAGGCCGGACGGUUGAGCUCAGAUCUGCAAGGCACUCCAUUCACUUCACCCCGCCUCCAAAAAGUUCGACUAUGGUGGCCGGGAAGGACCACACACAGGGUAUCCUGUCCCCAACCUGGAGCUGUUGUGCCAGCGGGAGCAAGUGCAAGAACCAUGGACAGUGGUCAAGUCCCCCUCCGAAAGCACCAGCUUAGGUGGCAGUGGAAAAACGAAGGCCAUAGGACCCAACACUUAUAAAUCAAAACUGUCUGAGGGAACCUCAUUCUGGGGAGAGUUCACACCAAGAACCCCAGGAGUCUUGCAGUGGGUGCAAAAUAAAGGCCAUGACAGUCCCUCAGAAGUUCAGAAAAGACUCUUCCAACAAGAGGCAGAGGCCGGACAGGAGAAGCUCCCUGGGAAAACAAGUCCUAUACAAGAUUGUGUAGAGAUUGCUGAGGAAGUGUAUCCAACACCUGUAGAGGAGGAAGAGGAAACCAUCUUCAAAUGCACUGAAUAUGUAAAGUAUUUAAUAAGAAACAUCUCCUGGCUGGCCAUGAAAAGAUCCACUCUGGAGUGAAGCCCUAUGUGUGUACAGAGUGUGGGGAGACCUCCAUAAAAAGCACUCAUCUCCUCCAGCACCAGAUGAUCCACACAGGAGAGAGGCCCUUCAAGGGCCUGGAAUGUGGGAAGGCCUUCAACUGCAAGUCGUACCUCACCCAGCACCAGCGGAUCCACAGUGGCGAGAGGCCUUACCAGUGCAGCCCAUGUGGGAAAUCCUUCACCCACCACUCCAAUUUUGUCCUGCAUAGCAGGAGACAUACUGGUGAGAAAUCUUUUGAGAAACCCAUGCAAGUGCUUUGAGUACAGACAGGUCUUUAAACACACGUCAUUCCUCCUGUGGCACCAACAGACUCACACAGGAAAGGAGCCCUAUGAGUGCAGUGAGUGUGGGGAGGCCUUCCUUGAGAGUGCAGCCCUGAUCCACCACUAUGUGAUCCACACUGGGGAGAAGCCCUUUGUGUGCAGUGAAUGUGGCAAAGCCUUCACCCACGGUUCUAUGUUCAUCUUGCACAAAAGGGCCCACACCGGAAAGAAACCCUUUGAGUGCAAAGAGUGCGGGAAAGCCUUCAGCAACAGAGCUGACCUCAUCUGACACUUCAGCAUCUACACUGGGGAGAAACCCUAUGAGUGUGUGGAAUGUGGGAAGGCCUUCAGCUGCAGCUCAUCCCUCAGUCACCAUCAAAGGAUGCACAGUGACAGCACCCCUCUCAGUGUGGCAGAGAAGGAAAGACCAUUCUCAACCACACAUACCUCAGUUACCCUCUGAGAACUCCUGGGGAAAGAUUGCUUGACUGUAACCAGUGAGGGAAAUCUUUUGUCACAAGAAACAUCUUUCUCAGGAUCUGAUCAUCUAUACCAAAGAGAAGCCCCACAAGUGUCUUGACUAUAAAACAAACAAAAACCCUCCGGUCACAGAAUACUCUGUCAUCUAAAGAGCAGCAGCAGACCCAGUCUUAUUUCCCCUCUGGAAAUUCACCCAGGAAAGAGCUCCAGGGCUGGGGAGGUGGGAUCCUGUUUUGCAUUCACACAGGAAAGGCUUCAGCCACAUCUCCCUCCUAGUUUACAUCGCUGUGUUAUCUCAGGGGUCAUUUACCAAGGAGCAGAUGCAGACGGGAAUAAAAGCACUGGUCUCUCGGCUCCCUGCCGUGACAGCCACUCCUCAGCUUAUUUGGCGUAAGGUGGGUGUUUUAGCAGCUGUCAAGGCUUUGGCCCUUUCCUGCGCCUUGUGUAUUCAGUGUUAGCUGAGAGCAAGCCUUUAAACCUGUAUGCACAUAUUUGUGUCCUAAGAUAUCCUUCCUGAAACUGGCAGCUUUAUGAUAAAUGGGGGCACUUCAGCCAUGGAGACACUUCAUAUGUAAGACAGUAAGGAUCCAUGUGUUUCCUAAGCUUGUCUGUACUCUCGCAAAUUCCAACAGCCUCUUGCUGUUUUCCUUUACCAAGAUGUACCUCUCCCCCCUCCCCCCUCAGCAUUCUCCCUCUCUCUCUCUCUCCUCUCCCCCCACCUCAGCUCUCUGUGUCUCUCUCUCCCCUCCCCCCUCAGCGCUCUCUCUUCCUCUCUCUCCUCUCCCCACUCUCUCCUCCCCACCUCAGCUCUCUCUCUCUCUCUCUGUGUCUCUCUCUCCUCCCCCCUCUCUCUCUCAGCUCUCUUAACUGCUGAGCCAUUUCUCCAACCCUUUAAUCACGUAAAUAUACAACUUUCUCCAUAAUACACAGCUGAAAUUUUUGCCCAUCUUUGUGGAGUGAAAAUCAUAAAGCCUGUGUUUUCAGCUGAUUCAGAUAUUUCUCCUCGAAGAGCUGAAUUCAGUUACCAGCACCCAUGUCGAGCAGUUGACAGUUGCCUGCAAUUCCAGCUUCAGGGGAUCCUGUACCCUCUUCUGACCACAAACUGCCAGAGGCAUUUUUCUGUAUGCACACACAGAGAUACAAUUUUAAAAUAAAAAAAAAUUAUGAUUAAAAUUAA